rnacentral:lncRNA from 1 species
AAGGUUACUAAAAUAGAUUAUUGACUUAAUAAAAAUAUUUCCCUUAAAAAGAUUUAAGAAGCAGUUAAUCCUCCAAUAUCAAUUAGUAUAUAACAGUUGUGUUUUUAUUUUCAAAAAAAAUGGCUGGAAUUCUAUGGAGUGCAGCACGUUAAAGAUCCAUUGUGGUCACUGCAGCAGCUUGGGUCACUGCUAUGGCAUAUGUAUGGUUCCUGGCCUGGGAACUUCUGCAUGCCACGGGCAUGCCGAAAGAAAAAACAAAAGCACAUGGCACUUUUAAAUUAGGCAGUACUAUUAUUUUUCACAUUUAACAUUAAAAUAAUUUGUUGCUACACAGAUGAUAUGCAAAUAUGGUAGGCAAUAAGUUUUUUGUGAAAACAAUGCCUUUUGAAUAGCCAUAGCAUGUCAACCUAUAACUUUUAAAUUGUCCACAGCUACGGUAUAUAUUUGACUAUGAGUACUGUGCAGAGAGCUGAGCCAGACCUCUGCUCUACCUCUCUGCUAUUUACUGGAUGAGCUUGAACAAGACAUCAACCUUUCUGAUUAAGUCUGCCUAUACCAAUGGUUUUCUGAUUAAUAGAAAUGAAAAUGAGAACGUAUACAGGUGUUCAGAAUCUAGAAAAUGCAGUUGCUUUAUUGCUAUAUCUAUGUACAUAUGAAUAUUUGAUUUGAUUUGAAAUUAGAGCUCAAAGUAUUCACUUAAUUUCUUCCCCUGAAAAAAAUACAGUUUUUCGAGUUUGAGGCCUGCUUUGUCAAAAAUCUAAAGAACCUAUCACAUUUUCAUUAAAAUAUUCAAAAUAAUGGUACUGAUUUUGACUUUUUAAAAAAAUAUAUUUCUAUAUUUUUUAAAAUAUAGAGAACUUGUCUAAAACACAGCUGUUCCAAAAAUAUAUGCUAUAUACUACAUGCUCAGAUUAUUUUUACUGUGGUAAUAAUUCCGCAAAAUGGAACAGUGGGUCUAGAAAUCAUGAUGAAGUCAUCAGCCCCCUAAAUAACAUUCCUAUCUCUAAGGCUAUGAUACAAAAUGCCCAGAAGAAAUCUUCAUGUCUGCCUUAAUCUUGCAUUUCUUUGGAGAGAUAGUUAUUAAAUUUCUAGAGUUUUUGCUGUGAAUACCUGAGCAUUUUCUCUCAUGUACACUUACUUUUUACACACCAGAUUUCAGGAUUGAAUAUGAAACCUUUUAAAUAUCUUUACAAUCUACAAAGCAUUGUGUAUAAACACACAAAACUCAAAAAAAAAAGUUCUUUUUUCGAAUUAAAGAUAUCUCAUUUUUGUAUUCAGGAACUUAACAACCAUGUGUCCAGUGAUAAAGUUAAAUGGACUAGCAGAUAACCCAAGGAAGGGCAUAACUUUCUUUUCCUCAAAGCAUACCUUUUAAAUACCCAUUAGAUAUGGGGAAUUUCCACAUCUCUUAAAUUUUACAGGAAAUACAUAGCCAGAUAAUCUCAUAAAUUUGCCAGGUCCUAAACUGCUUACCCACACUAGACUAAGUCAUGAUUUUAAUGAAGAGAAAAAUCACUUGAUUUCUCUCAAUUCCCUGUAUCUUCCAUACUCAAAGUUUGUUGGAAAAGACAGUCUAUCUCCACCUAGCAUCCAUGACCUAUUAAUGUACCAUAUUCCAUACUCCCUGGUCCUGAUCAAACCCAAAAACUGAAUAAAAAGCAGUAAAAUAAAUGACUACUCACCUCAUAUUAUAGAAUCCAAACCAACCUGGAUUGAUGUACAUCCAUAACAUGAAUCAAAAAUAAGAACUGGGCAUAGAUAAUUGCAUUCAGCUUGGAUCACCUCCCUAUUUAAGCUCAGGAAAAUGCCCUACAGACCACUAGUUACCCAGGGCCAAAAAAACCCAUACCUCUAGAGGAAGGCCUGAAACAGUGGGACCUUAAAAAAUUGAGAAAAAGAAGCCAAGAGUAGUUUUAAUAAUUUGUUCUCCCUGUCAUUAGAGAAGAUCUGAGAAUUGAGGAGAGGGAGACAUUGGUGUUAAAUAACAGUAGUUCAUAGUAACAGUGAUUUAACAGGUACAUUAUCUAAAUAUCCUAUAGCCAAAGCAAAGGGAAACAGGAAGGGAUCUGCUUCUCUUCUUGGAGUUCAUCACAUUCCAAGGCAGCGCUUGGGGCUCAUGCCUGUAGGCUGCGCCCAGGCUGGUUCACAGCCUCAUGCAGCUGUGGAGUUUGGAAAAGUGCUACACGGCUGCUGGAUUAGUCCCAGAAUGUCAGCCUCAUUUUCAAUUUACUGGCUCUUGUUGCUUUAUGUCAUGCUGACCUUACUGUUAAACAUGCGUGUUUGCUUUCUUUCCACUCACAGAGAUGGGGAAAGCAUUACUUUUAGCUGGUUGAAAGCUUUAACUGACAAAGGACUUUUAGAGAAAUGUGAAUUAAGCAGCUGAGAAAGCUUAACCCUGUCCACUGUUUUAAAGAAAAUUAAAUUAUUAACUCCGCCAUGUGACAUCAAUAUCAUGGUCAACAUUUGGAUAUAUAAGAACAAAAUAUUUAAAUGGCAUUGUAAAGAGUUGUUAAGGCAUACACUGUAGCUUCUAUCAUCUUUGAAAACUGCUCUUAAUACAUCAAAUCCUGAUAUAUCCAAUUUACCGAACAUUACUUAUUCUAGAUGAAACCUACUUACAUGAUUUGCUCUUGUCAAAUAUAUAUAAAGUUUAACAUCACAUUUUUCUAUGAAAUUUACCAACUUAUGAGGAGUUUUGUUGUUUUUAUGAUUUAUUUAUAGACAGCAGUGGCUUAUAACUUUUUGCCAUUAAACUUUUACUAACCCCCUCCCUCAGAAAACUUAUGUUUUAAAAUUCACCACCAAACUGUAUUCCUAUUUAGAAAUAGUUGUUUUGUUUUCUUCAUGUUACGCUAUUCAAAAACAUGAAUUAGAGUUUCUGAGCAGCAUAACAGUUAUGUCCAUGCUGAUGUGAUGGGUUUUAUGCAGCUUUAACUGGUAAAUUAAAAAUUGGCUUUUCUUUAAUAAUAUAGUAGCAAAAUAGUCAAUGGAUAGCUAUCAUAGUUUUCUCUAAAGGCUUUAAAAUUCAUGAGAAACACCAAACAUUUUUUUGGAGAGCCAAUGCAAUCAUAUUGUAUUCCUGUCAAAACAGAUAUGCAGCUCUGCUUGUUCUCCAUGGGGUAAAAAUACUACUUAGAAAUGACUUUAAAUGGUAGGUCCUAUAUUUGCUGUAACUGGGAGUAGAAAGAGAUUUCCACAUGGCAGCUUUUUAGAAUUCAUCCCUUUAACCAAGAAAGUAUCUUCUUAUGACCUGAGUAGUACAUGCAUUUUAACUUUUUCUGACAUACGAAUAUUCACAAGAAAAUCAGAGCAAAGAUUUUUCAAAAAAAGCUUUUCAAUGAAAUUGAGGGGGAAAAAAACAGGAAAAAUGUAAAAGCUGUUCAUAUUUUGUAAGGAGUAAAUAUAACUCACAAAAGUGAAAUGGAAAACUCCUCUAAGGAGUAACUUAAAUAUUUUUCCCUUGAUUAUUGAGCAAAUAAUCAUGCUGAUGUUACAAAACAACAUGGGUGAUUAUCUACAAUGAUAACAAUGGUAAAUGUUAGAGAAGAAAAUCACUCACUAUCUAUGCAUAUAAAACAUAAAUAUGCCCAGAAACUUGCUUUUGCUUUUUAAGAAAGGUCUCCAGUUUCUAAGAUUGAUGCUACAUAGUUUAGGAAAAAAAAAAAAAUCAAUCUCUAAGUGUCUGUUUAGCUAUCAAUCAAUUAAGUGUCUUAACACUUUAAAAAGCAGGGAGGAAAGAAGAGAGGGAAGACUGGUGCAGGGGAAGGAGGGAGGGAGAGAAAAGUUUAGAACCAAAUUAUCCAUUUCAACUCUGAAACCACAAACUUUUCGCUAAUAAUUUACAUCAAUGUAAAGUAGCCGACUCUCAAUUAUCUAUGUUAAUAGAAGGGAAAAAAAAGCCCUGAAAUACAAAAAAACAAAAACAACAACAAAAAAAGUGGGGUUUUUGCAAAGUUGAAGUCUUACUUUAGGAGUUAUUUUUUAUUUAUCUUUUUUAGGAGUCUUUUUAUCUUUCAACAACUAGUUAUAAAGCGUUGUUGUAUCAUAUACCUGUUAUUCUGCCAGAUUGUGAAGAUAAGCAGAUUGAGUACCUGCUUUCUCUGAGUUUACAAUUGGAUGGAGACUAGAGACAAAGCAAAUAGUUACAAUAUUGCAUGUUGAAUGUCAUGGUCGAGGAUGUACAGGGAGCCAUGGGAGCACCUCAGAAGGAUACUUAGCUUGAAUUUAGGAGUGGGCAAAGUUUCUUGGAAAAAGGUCUAAACCAUGAUCUAAAAGUGGUUUAGGAAUUAGCUGAGCAUGCAGAAUCAGAAAAUGCCAAAGGAAUGAAGAAUAUUCCAAACAGGAGGUUACAGCAUAUGCACAGACCUGAUUAUGAGAGAGAGUGUGGGGUGGGGGCUGAUGAUGAGGCUGAAGAAGAAGACAAGGUCCAGAUUAUUAAGUGCAUAUCAUGUUAAAUUGUGUAGUCUUGACUUUUUUUAUAAGCAGGACAGCAGCAUAAUUCAGAUUGGUAUAAAAGAAAUUCAGCCUCACUGCAGUAUUGAGAAUAGAAUUGGAGAUGGCUAAUCCUGGAGGUAGAGAGAACAUUUUUUUUAGAAAGUUGCAGUAUUCUGAUGGGAAUGAUAGUCAUAAACAUUAAGAGUUGGAAGUGAUCAUAACCUCCUCCCUUGUUUUCCAGAGGUUUUAAGAAAACAAAACUUGGAAGUAUUAACAGAACUUAUAGAAACAUGAAAUAUGCUGUAUACAUUGUCACACACAAGGUCAGAUGCCUAUUUAUUCUGCUGCUAUAUUGAAAUUUCAAAUUUUUCAUCAAGAAAGACAAUAAGAACUAAGAAACUUAGUUUACCAAGUUCUAGAAUCCUAUCUAUCCAAACAGUCUCUACCCGUCUACCAAUAUGCCCACCUUUCCGUGUCUAUUAAAUUUCAAUAUCCUGGUUUUUACACAAAGGUAAGAAGACUAGAACAGCUUAAGAAUCAGCAAAUGGGAAAUAAAGGGAGACUAAGCUGUAUUCAAUAAUAAAAAAUAAACACAUCCUUUGUGUAGAUCUUUCUUCAGAUGCCAUUAUCCAGUAUAAUUACAAACUGGUACACUCAC